rnacentral:rRNA from 1 species
GGUUCGAUUAUGGCUCAGAUUGAACGCUGGCGGGAUGCUUUACACAUGCAAGUCGAACGGCAGCACGGACUUCGGUCUGGUGGCGAGUGGCGAACGGGUGAGUAAUGUAUCGGAACGUGCCUAGAAGGGGGAUAACUACGCGAAAGCGUAGCUAAUACCGCAUACGCCCUUCGGGGGGAGCGGGGACCCGGCCUCGUGCACCGCUAGGAGCGGCCGAUAUCGGAUUAGCUAGCUGGUGGGGUAACGGCUCACCAAGGCGACGAUCCGUGUAGCUGGUUUGAGAGGACGACCAGCCACACUGGGACUGAGACACGGCCCAGACUUACGGGAGGCAGCAGUGGGGAAUUUGACAAUGGGGGAAACCCUGAUCCAGCCAUCCCUGCGUAAAAAGUGAUGAAGGCCUUCGGGUUGUAAAGCACUUUUGGUAAAGGAAAGAAACGGCACGGGAUAAUACCCCGUGCAACUGACGGUACCUGCAGAAUAAGCACUGGCUAACUACGCUCGUGCAGCCGCGGUAAUACGUAGGGUGCAAGCGUUAAUCGGAAUUACUGGGCGUAAAGGUGCGCAGGCGGUUCGGAAAAGAAGGAUGCAACCGCAGAGCUUAACUUUGGAACUGCAUUUUUAACUACCGAGCUAGAGUGUGUCAGAGGGAGGUGGAAUUCCGCGUGUAGCAGUGAAAUGCGUAGAUAUGCGGAGGAACACCGAUGGCGAAGGCAGCCUCCUGAUAACACUGACGCUCAUGCACGAAAGCGUGGGGAGCAAACAGGAUUAGAUACCCUGGUAGUCCACGCCCUAAACGAUGUCAACUAGCUGUUGGGGCCUUCGCCCUUAGCAGCUAACGCGUGAAGUUGACCGCCUGGGGAGUACGGUCGCAAGAUUAAAACUCAAAGGAAUUGACGGGGACUCCGCACAAGCGGUGGAUGAUGUGGAUUAAUUCGAUGCAACGCGAAAAACCUUACCCACCCUUGACAUGUCUGGAAUCCCGAAGAGAUUUGGGAGUGCUCGCAAGAGAAACCGCUGGAACACAGGAAGCCGGCACACGUCAUUCGUGUCGAGAUGUUGAAGCAGUCCCGCAACGAGCGAACUUGUCAUUAGUUGCUACGAAAGGCACUCUAAUGAGACUGCCGGUGACAAAACCGGAGGAAGGUGAUGACGUCAAGUCCCAUGGCUCCUGUAGGUAGGGCUUCACACGUCACAAUGGUCGGGACAGAGGGUCGCCAACCCGCGAGGGGGAGCUAAUCCCCAGAAACCCGAUCGUAGUCCGGAUCGCAGUCUGCAACUCGACUGCGAAGCUGGAAUUCAGCACCCGCGGAUCAGCAUGUCGCGGUGAAUACGUUCGGGUCUUGUACACACCGCCCGUCACACCAUGGGAGUGGGUUUUACCAGAAGUAGUUAGCCUAACCGUAAGGAGGGCGAUUACCACGGUAGGAUUCAUGACUGGGGUGAAGUCGUAACAAGGUAACUCUGUUACUACCC